rnacentral:rRNA from 1 species
UACGUAGGGUGCAAGCGUUUGUCCGGAAUUAUUGGGCGUAAAGAGCUCGUAGGCGGUCUGUCGCGUCUGCUGUGAAAACUCAGGGCUUAACCCUGAGCUUGCAGUGGGUACGGGCAGACUAGAGUGCGGUAGGGGAGACUGGAAUUCCUGGUGUAGCGGUGAAAUGCGCAGAUAUCAGGAGGAACACCGGUGGCGAAGGCGGGUCUCUGGGCCGUAACUGACGCUGGAGGAGCGGAAAGCAUGGGGAGCGAACAG